UGUACACGCUGUGACUAGCAUAUCAAUAAGCGGAGGAAAAGAAACUAACAAGGAUUCCCCUAGUAACGGCGAGUGAAGCGGGAAGAGCUCAAAUUUGAAAUCUUAAAGGGUUUCCCUUUACGAACUGUAGUUUAAAGAAGUGUUUUCUGUUGAGGUUUUGGUAAAAGUUCUUUGGAAUAGGACAUCAUAGAGGGUGAGAAUCCCGUAUUUGACCUUUACUUUCAACUUUGUGAUACACUUUCAAAGAGUCGGAUUGUUUGGGAAUGCAGUCCAAAAUGGGUGGUAAAUUUCAUCUAAAGCUAAAUAUUGGCGAGAGACCGAUAGCGAACAAGUACCGUGAGGGAAAGAUGAAAAGGACUUUGAAAAGAGAGUUAAACAGUACGUGAAAUUGUCAAAAGGGAAGCGUUUGACACCAGUGUUGUUUUUCUGAAAAUCAAUUAAAGAACUGUUUAUGCUAAGCUGUUUAGACUUUAUCAGCUAAUCUGUUUAGUUUUGAGCUUUUCUUUAAUGCACUUUUCAGUUAACAAGUCAACAUCAAUUUCUUUUGCUGUAAAAAAGCUUGAGGAGGGUGGCUUGAGAUUCGUCUUAAGUGUUUAUAGCCUCUUGCCUAUGCAGUCGGAGAGAUUGAGGUCUGCAGCGUAGAUCCUUCGGGGCUAAAUGCAUUUGUGCUAAGUUAUAGCAUUUUAUAGACAACUUGUUGACUAUGAUUUGUCUUGUAGCUUACUCGCUUAUGUUAUUUUACCUACGCUUAGGAUGUUGACGCGCGUGUGUGCGUG
rnacentral:rRNA from 1 species